rnacentral:lncRNA from 1 species
UAUUCCAGUUACAAAAUAAUGAUUAUCCAGUCUGAUUCGUGGAUUAGAGUAGUAUGCUAUUUGUAAUUAAUCCACCAUGCAAGGACAAAUGGGUUCCUGUCUUUCCCUCCUUAAUUAUUCAUUCUUUCAGACAUCAAUACUUGAUGUGGAAAAGGUUUUGCACCCAAUCAAUCAGUGACUGCAGUUUGGAGUUAGCGAAGGAAUUUCAAAAGAGCUGCUGAUAAUUAGACAGAUCUAAUGUUAUUGCUGAAGUUGCACUAUGCCUUUUAAGCUAUUAACAAGGGGCUGAUGAGUAUGAGGUCACAGAUAAGCUGAAAUCGCUAUGUUGGUCUUGCAGCUUAGACAAUAUGUCCUUAAGGGAGAAGAUACUCAAGCUCUUGUUCUGAUUCUGACCCAAGCUUUACCUAUACUGUUCUAGAAAACCAAAAUCCUCUUA